rnacentral:rRNA from 1 species
AUGGUCACGACAGAUCUGGGCGAGAUGGCAGGUGAAACCCAAGAUACUGGGCUGUUGGAGCUCGAAUCUCUGCAGCUGGACAUCAAAUCCCUCAGGCAGGAAUGGGAAGAAGACAGAAAAGAAUUCUAUCAGUUCACAGAAACCGUCAACAAGAAUUUUGCCAGUAUCCGGAGAAACUUUCAGAAAAUACAGCAAUCCUUGCAAAAACUCUCUUCUGGACCAUCAACAGAAGAAGGGGAUGCAGAAGCAGAUGUCCCAGACCCUCCAUCGGGCCAGGGCAGCACGGCCAUUCCUCCUGGCCGACCCAAGCAAUUACCUAAUAAUCAGUUGGGCGUGGAAAAACCAGACCCUGCAACUGCGGGAUCAGCUAUCUUGGUGGAUAAAAAUACAGGCAGAGAACUCAACAUGGACGGCACACCAAAAGGCCCUUACAGACACCCUAAUCAUGCAGCAAAUAAACAGGAAUUCCACACACCUCAACAGUACCCAGGGCAAGGGGCCAGACAAAUUCUGACUGUGGAAGAGAUACCUGAAGAAGAGAUGAGAAAAGAAAAACACAGGUCACACACUCCUGAAGUCAGAAGGAGUCUCCUUUCUGUCAAACCUGCCAAACUCAACAUUGCUGAAUUUGAAGGGAUUGAUGCAGACUCUUGGAUACAAAAUAUUGAACAAUAUUUCUCUGCUUCCAGAACCCCUAUUGAGCAAAGAACAGAGAUAGCAGUAUCCUACUUGAAAGGUGAAGCAAUCCAGUGGUGGAGAAGCACUGGUUUCAUUGUGUCCAACACUCCUUGGCAUAAAUUCUGUUCGGCGAUUACCCAGAGAUUUGCUGUGACAUCCAUCUGUGAAAAUGUGAAAUCCUUUCACAAGCUCACUCAAACAUCUUCAGUAACUCAAUACAUAUCUGAAUUUGAGCACAACAUGAAUCUGAUGAGAAGGGACAGUCCAGCAAUACCUGAUAAUUACUAUAUGCACAGUUUCAUCUCAGGGUUGAAUCCCUACAUACAAAGCCAUCUUGAGUGCCUAGAGCCAGUUGAUAUGCAAAAAGCCAUGUGGUUAGCAAGGAGAAUUGAACAGUCAUGUCCACCUCCUGCUCCUCCAAGACCAUAUGUUUCCAACUACAAGAAAACAACAGUUUGGGAACAACCCAAAACAACACUUCCCAACAAUACUUCUGCUUCUGCUGUUAUUCAACAAGCUCGAGAAAAAGGUAUUUGCUACAAAUGCAGAGAGCCCUGGUUCCCUAGCCACAAACAGGUGUGCAAGAUGUCUCAAAAAGCACAAAUUCAAGCAUUGCAAGAGCAAUCAGGAAAUCCAGAGAUAAUCUACAUAGUAGAUGCAGAAGAGGAAAUGUCUGAUGCUGCAGGGGAACCACCUGACAAGCAAGAGCUUAAGAUAUCCAUGCAUGCAGCAACUGGUAUUCCUGAAGCAAAAAGCAAGCACACUUUUACACUACAAGUCCAAAUCGGGAAAACAGUAGUCCUAGCUCUGGUAGAUAGUGGCAGCACCACCACUUUUAUAUCUCCAACAGCUGCUCUGCAAUCUGGUUACAGCAUUACACCAGUGAAACAAGUUCCAGUAACUGUAGCUAAUGGAGGAAAGCUACUUAGUGAUUUCUACUGUUUCCAAGCCCCAUACCAAAUUCAAGGAGUGGAACUGCUCUCUGAUUUCAGAGUUCUACAGCUCACUGGAUAUGAUAUAAUCCUAGGAGCAGACUGGAUGUACAGGCACAGCCCUGUCACUUUUGACCUACCAAACAUGAGGCUAGUAAUCAGAAACACCACUGGAGAAGAAAUUACAUUUGUUGAUGAAAGCUUACCUACCAGCCCUUGUACUCCCAUACUGCAAGACAUGGAAAACAUAUUGGAUAACAUGCUCACUGGUGCUUUAAUGUGGAUGCAGCAUGUCCAACUGGACAAUGUCACUGACACUGUUCACAAACCUGAAAUUACUGAAAUGCUGGACAAAUUCCAAGAUGUUUUCUCUGAACCAACUAGCCUGCCACCCAAGAGGGACUGUGAUCAUGCAAUCAAUCUGCAACCUGAUGCUCCUGUGAUCAACCAAAGAGCAUACAGACUUCCUCAUCACCAAAAAAAUGCUUUGGAGGAAAUAAUCAAAGAUCUUCUUCAGAAAGGAAUUAUCAGAUUAAGUCACAGCCCCUACUCAUCCCCUGCCAUAUUGGUCAAGAAAAAGGAUCUCACUUGGAGAUUAUGCAUCGAUUACAGGAAGUUAAAUGCAUAUACAAUCAAAAAUAAGUACCCUAUCCCUAUGAUUGAAGACUUGCUGGAUGAACUCAAUGGAGCAACCAUUUUUACCAAAAUAGAUCUCCGAAGUGGCUACCACCAAAUCAGAAUGAGGGAAGGAGACAUCGAAAAAACUGCAUUUACCACACAUCUAGGGCUGUUUGAAUUCCUGGUCAUGCCAUUUGGAGUGACUAAUGGACCUCCAAGCUUCACAGAACUGAUGCACACUGUUCUGGGCCCUUUAUUAAGGCACUGUGUAUUGGUUUUCUUCGAUGACAUCCUCAUAUUCAGCAAGACAUACAAGGAGCACUUGGAACACUUAGCUCUGGUCUUGGAAGCCCUGAGAAAACAUCAACUAUAUGCAAAAAUCUCCAAGUGCACCUUUGCCCAAUCAAAAGUGGAGUAUCUUGGGUAUGUGAUUACUGACAAGGGUGUCACCACAGACCCUGCCAAAGUAGAAGCAAUUGUUAGCUGGCCCACUCCCCAAAAUGUGACACAUUUAAGAAGUUUCUUGGGACUAGCAGGCUACUACAGAAGGUUUAUCCAGAAUUAUGGCUUGAUUUGCAAACCAUUGUUUGAAGCACUGAAAAAGGAAGGCUUCAAGUGGACUGACUCCCAGGCUGCUGCCUUCCAGCAACUAACGGACAAAAUGACCACAGCACUAGUGCUUGCCCUGCCUGAUUUUUCACUUCCCUUUGUCCUUGAAGCUGAUGCAUCAGGCUAUGCCAUUGGAGCAGUACUCAUGCAGAAGGGCCAACCCAUUGCAUUUCUCAGUAAGGCAUUGGGGCCCAAAGCUGUUGGCUGGUCCACUUACGAUAAAGAGGCCCUAGCAAUCAUUGAAGCAAUCAAGAAAUGGAAACAUUACUUUGCUUCUUCUUCACUAAUCAUCAGAACUGAUCAACAGAGCUUGAGGCACAUCCAGGAGCAGAAAGUAACUGAGGGAGUGCAACAUAAACUCCUCAUUAAAUUGUUGGGCUACAAAUUCACUGUGGAGUACAAAAAAGGCAAAGAAAAUAGAGUGGCUGAUGCUCUCUCUAGAGUUAAGCAUGCUAUACUUACAUUGGGAACUAGCAAUGCUAUUCCAGCAUGGAUCACAGAAGUGGUAAACAGUUACAAGGAUGAUCCAAAGUGCUCUGACCUCAUCACUCAGCUGGCAAUUACUCCCACAGGACACCCUCCUUACACUCUCACUAGUGGAAUUUUGAGGUACAAGGGAAAAAUUGUUGUUGGUCAUAACAAUGAACUGAGAAAAUCACUUCUCACCUCCUUCCACAACUCUGAGUUAGGAGGACACUCUGGAGAAAAAGCAACAUAUCACAGAUUGAAAAUCUUGUUCACUUGGCCAGGGAUGAGGAAAGAGGUACAAGCUUUUGUGCAACAAUGCCCUGUUUGCCAGCUCAAUAAAGCACACCACUUUCCAUCCCCUGGGUUGCUCCAGCCCUUACCAGUUCCUGAUUUUGCUUGGACCCAUAUCAGCAUGGAUUUUGUGGAGGGCCUCCCUAAAUCUGAACACAAGAAUAUGAUCUUAGUGGUGGUGGACAGAUUUACUAAAUAUGGCCAUUUCAUAGCAAUGAGACACCCUAUAACUGUCCAAACAGUGGCCCAAGCAUUCACUGAUAAUGUUUUCAAACUCCAUGGACUUCCAACUGUCAUAGUCACUGAUAGAGACAGGAUAUUCACUAGCAAUCUGUGGCAAAAGUUGUUCACAAAAAUGGGAGUGAAACUACACAUGAGCACAUCAUAUCACCCACAGACGGAUGGUCAAACUGAGCGAGUGAAUCAGUGCUUGGAGAAUUAUUUGAGGUGUAUGGCCUUUGCUCAACCCAGGAAGUGGCACAAGUGGCUUUCCAUGGCUGAAUGGUGGUACAACACUACAUUUCACACUUCUCUCAAGAUGACACCAUUCCAAGCACUAUAUGCUAGGCCUCCUCCUCUAAUUGCUGAACUCAUGCUUCCCCCAGUGGAAGGAGAAGAUCACCAAGCUGAGUUGGACAGAAAUAGCAUUGCCCAACAGAUCAAGGACAACUUACUCAAAGCACAAGAAAGAAUGAAAUUCUUUGCAGACAAGAAAAGAUCUGAUAGGAACUUGGAAGUGGGAGACAUGGUUCAUGUCAAGAUACAGCCCUACAGGCACACAAGCUUGAGCAUUCAUAAACACUUGAAACUACACUCCAAGUACUAUGGACCAUUCAGGGUAAUGGAGAAAAUAGGGGCAGUGGCUUACAGAUUGUUGCUCCCAGAUGAUUGUCAACUCCAUCCAACAUUCCAUGUAAGCCAACUAAAGAAGCACAUAGGCCCUGAGGCAGUACCAAACCCCAAACUCCCACUGUUGGAUGCACAAGGUAACAUCUUGAUCCAACCAGAAGCUGUCCUCGAGAGGAAACUGAUCCCUAGAGUACAAGGCGACAUCAGCAUUCCCGUGGUACAGUGGCGCAUCAAAUGGCUCAACCUACCAGUGGAAAAUGCAACUUGGGAGGAUGCAGCUUUCAUACAGAAAAUUUUUCCAAGCUUCCAGCCUUGA